rnacentral:rRNA from 1 species
UGCGCAGGCGGUUGGGUAAGACAGAUGUGAAAGGCAUGGGCUCAACCCGUGGACUGCAUUGGAAACUGUCAUACUUGAGUGCCGGAGGGGUAAGCGGAAUUCCUAGUGUAGCGGUGAAAUGCGUAGAUAUUAGGAGGAACACCAGUGGCGAAGGCGGCUUACUGGACGGUAACUGACGUUGAGGCUCGAAAGCGUGGGGAGCAAACA